UGGGCACUCUAAGGUGACUGCCGGUGACAAACCGGAGGAAGGUGGGGAUGACGUCAAAUCAUCAUGCCCCUUAUGACUUGGGCUACACACGUGCUACAAUGGACAGUACAAAGGGCAGCGAACCGCGAGGUCAAGCCAAUCCCACAAAGCUGUUCGCAGUUCGGAUCGCAGUCUGCAACUCGACUGCGUGAAGCUGGAAUCGCUAGUAAUCGCGGAUCAGC
rnacentral:rRNA from 1 species